rnacentral:rRNA from 1 species
CCUAUGGGGGGCAGCAGUCGCGAAAACUUCACAAUGGGGGCAACCCCGAUGAGGGAAUUCCUAGUGCUAGCACAAUUGUGUUAGCUUUUCUCUAGCGUAGAUAACUGGAGGAAUAAGGGCUGGGAAAGACGGGUGCCAGCCGCCGCGGUAAUACCUGCAGCCCAAGUGGUGGUCGAUUUUAUUGAGUCUAAAACGUUCGUAGCCGGUUCGAUAAAUCUUUGGGUAAAUCGGGGGGCUUAACCUUCCGUCUUCCGAGGAGACUGUCGAACUUGGGACCGGGAGAGGCUAGAGGUACUUCUGGGGUAGGGGUAAAAUCCUGUAAUCCUAGAAGGACCACCGGUGGCGAAGGCGUCUAGCUAGAACGGAUCCGACGGUGAGGGACGAAGCCCUGGGUCGCAAACGGGAUUAGAUACCCCCGUAGUCC